ensembl:lncRNA
AGCAAUUCUGACCAGUUUUGUAUUUGACACAGAGCAACGUGCACUUGCAGAUGCGAAAGCCUGCCACAUUCAUAGCCCCUGAGACCCAUGCUUCUCUGAUAAAAAGCCUCUGUGAACAGCUCACAGCAGCAUCCCUUUAUAUUCCUGUGUCUGGACAUUGUUGAACAACUCCACGGGGGCUGAGCCUGAGAGCUGCCUCCAAGAGGAUGGGCUUCCAUGAGAUGAAUCCAUUUCACUGGGAUCUGAUGGGCACGGCUUGGUGGACAUCUAAGUGCAGAGGGAAAGGACAGAAUAUACUCAGCUGUAUACUUGAUCCACAGGACAUCAGAAAGGAAUGCUCCUAUCCUCCUGUCAGCAUCCUCUGUGCUGGCUGCCUACAGAUGUCAGCCAUCUGCCUGUCACAUGCGCACAGUGAAUGGGAGGCUGCAGCCACAGUGCCCUGAAUUUGGCAGCCCUGCUGCUGCCAGCAGAAAGCUGCAAACAGUGAGUACAUGUGGAGAGCUCCAAGCCCC